CAUGUAUCGGUACCGGUUUUAUUGAUUUUGGUAUUCGGUACUUUCGGUAUUGGUACAGGUACGGGUAAAAACGGGUACGGGUACCGAAUUUUAUGUAGACUUUUAAAAGUUUUUUUUUUUUUUUUGUAUUAUGUUUUAUUUCGUAUUAAGGUAUUUAUAGUACUCGUAUUGAUUUUACCUAUAUGGUAUCCGUAUCGGUACUCGUACCAAUUUUACCUAUUUGGUAUUCGUAUCAUAUUGGUACUCAUGUCAAUUUUAACUGUUUACUCUACCGAAAAUACCCAUACCAGUACCCGUAUCGUACCUAUAUAUUUGGUACCCAAUUUUGUUUAAAUUCGAUACCGGUAUUUUCGAUAACAGUACGGAUAUGAGUACGGGUACUGUACCAAUCCCAUCCUAUACCAGACAAGAGUUUUAGAGUAGUCACUCAUCUACAGAAAUUGGUACCAGAAACAGAACAUCGACCAUCUCUGUAGCAGUUAAACCCACCACUAAAAACAACCGUUAUUUAUAAUUUUCUAUCAUCGAUAAUGGAAGCUCACAAACUUUUCAAAAGAACGACAACAUGAUGAACCACUUGUAGCAGUUAAACCCACCACUGAAAAGAAUCAACCCAUCUGCAAUGGCGAUGCAAACUUCUCACACCUUUGAUAAUAUCGCAGGAAAAGCUCCAUAUUCUAGAGUUAUAACCCAUGGAUUUGUGCUGGACGAAAAGGAUUUAAAAAUGAGUAAAUCGUUGGGUAGCGUUGUCGAUCCACGUGCUAUAAUUGAAGGCGGGAAGAACCAAGAGGAAGCACCUUCUUAUGGAGCAGAUGUACUUCGACUCUGGGUCUCGAGUGUAGAUUAUACGGGAGAUGUUCUAAUCGGUCCGCAAGUCCUCAGACAAAUGUAAAUGUCUGACAUUUACAGAAAACUAAGAGGAACUUUACGGUUUCUUUUGGGAAAUCUUCAUGAUUGGAAAGCUGAAAAUGCUAUUGAAUAUGAUGAACUUCUGGAGAUCGAUCAGCAUGCUCUGUUUCAGCUUGAAAGUGUUGUGAAAAACAUUAAAGAAAGCUAUGAAAGCUAUCAGUUCUUCAAAAUAUUAUCAAAGUUUCUUUAUCGCCAACUCAGCUUGUUGAAGUUUUUGAACAACCCCCACUCGUCGUCACACCGAUCUCCCAAAAAACUGCCGAGGAAUAUGAAUUUUCGAUUAGAUAGGGGCAGGUUAUACACGAGUUAGACCUUGGAAAGCGAAAAAUAAGGCCACAAAGACAAACAGAAUUGACUGACGCUCUAAGGUCUCCAUACAUGCAGAGGGCAGUAGAACUUAGGUCGAAGCUUGAUAAUGCUGAGGUCUUGGUCAACGCGUACAUGUUUUCGGCCUGGGGUUCAAUGUGGGAUACAGUGUUUAAGACUACCAGAGGUGUGCCGGUGAUGAGGUCUCCGCUUGAAUCGUUGAUGCCGGGAAUAGAAUUCAUAUAUUGGUAAUAAGCGCAUGGGCGGAAUUGCUGAACUAUGUAGAAAGGUUCAGGCAAAAGGGAAGCAUCACACGCAUGUUCUGUUCGGUUAAUAUGUUGAAUGAAAAUGAUUACAAGCAAAGUGAGGAAAUAAGGUCAACAACCUUCGCUGAAAACAUGGAAUCGGUCUUAUUAUCUGCUGAUGUGAAGAACAUACGUGACAAGUCGUUUAGCUUUGUACCAGCUUUACACGACGAUCAUUUCUAUUAUGUAUGUUUCAAUUUGUGGGACAACAAGGUAGAGGUUUUGGACAACAACGCUAAGGAUGUGUCGAUGAAAGCGAAAUACGACAAACGGCCAGAAAAAUUGGUACGCCCCUCUUUCUAUAAAAUACAAAUGUCCUUUGUUAAAAAAUGCAUGAUAUCUGACGUCAUUUGUAUUAAAACACAAUUAAAGAAACUGCAUGAACUUGUUAAUAAGUUAGAACACAACCUGAUAUAUUGAAAAAACGUUUGUAAUGUUAACACACAAUAUGGUUAAUGGAUGGUGGGUCUGAAUUAGAACAAGGAAACUUAAAACACACUUUGAUGUGAUACUGCAUGAUGGCUUAUAUAAUCUGAUAAUGCAUGAUAUCUUAUUUUUCUCUAUUAAUCACUUAAAACACAAUUCAUACCGAAUCAUAUCUUAUGCCCUCUGUUAGUAACUUAAAAACCAAUAUGAUGUGAUACUGCAUGAAGUUCUCUGUGUAUAAAGUUAUGAGAUUAAAACACAGUGCAUACUGCAUGAUACGUUAUAUCCACUAUUAAUAACUUAAAACAUAGGUUGAUGUGAUACUACAUGAUUGCUCAUGACCACUCUUGUGUACUUAAAACACAAUUCAUCCGCAUGAUAAAUUAUGCCCUCUGUUAAUAAGUGUUAUACUUAAACAAAACCUAGAUCACAAUAUGGAUAACCUAAGCUGGUACAUCAAAUUAAAUCACAAUCUGAUGAAAAUGUUAACUUGUCGUAAUAUGGGAUGUGUUUCAAAAACAAUUUUAACCUGUCAUCGGUGGUGUUAUUUUGAAUUUUAUAGCUUAACAUAUGGUCGGUUAUGUUUUUUGAAUAGUUUGUACCUGUUUAACAUUGUGAAUGGCGAUAAUGUUAGUUUGUUUGGAUCCACGAAAAAUAUACAAUUUGUAAAAAUGUAUACCAGCUUAAAACACAACUAAUACACUUUAUGAUAUAAUGUGAACUGGAAAUCAAAUUAGCUAUUUCAUGGUAUCUAUAAACUGUGAACCAAGUUAAAACACAUUCUUAACGAUGUAAACGUAAAUUGUAUACCAAAUUAACUAGUACAUGGGAUUUGUAAAUAUGUAAAAGACCUUAAAACACACCAUGAAUUAUGUAGAGUAUAAGACCAGAUUACAUAUCAUCACAUUUACAUAAAAAAGGGGGUAUUAUAAUGUGUGUGAUGAGUAAAACACAAUACCACAUCAUUCAAAACCCCAAACCCAAAAACCCCAAACCCUGUACAAUGAAUACAGUAGAUAAAACACAAGGAGCAGUUUAAAAAAACAAAGUUACCCCUAAAACACAAUAACAAGAACACAUAAGAGCUUAGUAAAAUGUUUAAACCAACCCAGUUUAAAAAUCAACAAAAUAAAAUCCAAUCAAUCACACGGGAAAAUUAAAAACCAAAAGUGAAAGUUCAACAAAACAUUUAAUUUUUUUUUUUUAAAAGGGAACUACGCUGACAUAUCUUUGUCAUCCAAAUCUGCAUCAUUUCUCGAUGUGUAAAACACAUCUUUAACAUCGUUGGAACCAGGACAAUCACCUUCAACAGUUGUAGCAGCAUCACUUUCAACGAUUGUAGCAGCAUUUCCCGAAGUGCCUGCCUCAGGCACGACCACGGUGUAUUUCCAACAUGUUCGAUUGUU